AAAAACAUACAUCUUUACAACUGGUGGUCCCAAGUUUUGUUUUAAAACUAUUUCACAGAAAGGAAAGAAAUAAUAUGAAAACUGCUCAAGAAAUACACUAACAAACAGAAAUAUACGGGGAAAGAUGAACAUGUAGUUUGGACUUAACUCAAGAAACUUGGAGAAGACUGGCCUACAGAAGAAAAUGUGCAUCCCGGAAAGACAGGUGUGAGGAUUUUAGAGCAGCAAUUUAUAUGACUUGAAUCUCCCCUAAUUCCUGAAUUAAAACGACAUCUUGCAGUACUUGUGCUUCAUGGCUCAGACACCUGUCUCACUUGGCUCUAUUCCUUUCUUCCUUCUACCCUUUGCUUAAAUGAGUCC